GGGGCAUUAGCUCAGCUGGGAGAGCGCUUGCAUGGCAUGCAAGAGGUCAGCGGUUCGAACCGCUAUGCUCCAUCA
rnacentral:tRNA from 1 species